CGGUAUUCGUGGUAUAUAUUUUACCAACAAUCGACUUCGUUAACCGAAAUUCCUAUGGAACACACCAUGACAUCGACAGAUUCAACGGAACAGUAUAAUUCGUGGAAACGUUACUCUAACAUCUGCUCGAACGCAGAUUACGAAUUGGUCAGAGCUAUAAAUGCCAGCAGAUGUUCUUGAUGACGAUGGUCGCUAACAAGCAGACAGGAAGUUGCCGACCGUUUAACCAUGGAUUAGUCAGCACAACCAACGUAGGCAGGUGUACAUUUUACAUCCGGAAAUGACUCGGUCAGCGAGUCUCUUCAUGAGAUAUAUUCGGAACUCUACCCCUUUUGUCCACCUACGCUUUGUAAUGUCGGUAUACAUCUCGGAUAGCCGCAACACGAUGACCCAGUUUCGACGUUAACACAGUACGCUCUUGGGUGAAUGGUCUCAUCGACGUCACUACUCCUGGAACUAGGUCACCAUAGGAUCCCCGUUCAUACCACCUGCAUCACUCAUCCCCUCUAUCAAUGAGAAGGUACUUGUUAGGAUGACGGCCAUUCAGGAUGCUUCGAGUGUGCGUGGGUCUCCAUUAUACCCUACUCGUAUCUCAUGUUGACAACCAACCGUGACAUCUGAUUUAAUUAAAUGGCUCAAUUCCAGCAGAUAUCAAUAAUAUCGGCGCUUGUCCACGCAUGUAUCCGAGGGACGUUUCUGGCCUAGCAACCGAUUCGAAAUUAAACCGCGCCGUUAAUGCGACGAGAAGGGCUGGGAUAAAUGGGGGAUACGGGGAGGGAAGGGGGAGUGAGAGAGUGAGGGAGAAAGGGUGAGGAGAGGAGGGAGAGAAGGGGACGAGAAGAGAAAGCACAGCAACAGCAUCCCUUCUGCGAUACCACGUUCGAGGGGAGACGCGCGCCGGUGCGAAGACGGAGAUCUUUGAAGGAGGGUGGGUAGUACUGGAGAAUGGCCGGAUAAUGGUGAGCAAGAGAGAGACAGAGGAAGAGAAAGAUGAAGAGAGGGAAAGAGAGAGAUAGAGAAAGAAAGAGAGAGAGAGAGAGAGAGAGAGAGAUACGUGAACGGAAAGCGGAAGCAACGGAGCCGCUCAAUGAAAGAGCUCUACCCCUGCAACGGAUGCGAAUGGGCUGGCGUCCCAUUGAAGGUACCUUGGAUAUUCGCAUUGCGUAUGCGCAGGGUUGACGUGUUUCUCUUUAUCGAGCAAAAGCCUUUCCCUCUCUUUCUCUCUCUCUCUCUCUCUCUCUCUCUCUCUCUCUCUCUCUUUCUCACUCUCUCUUUCUAUCUCUGUCUCUGUCUCUGUUUCUCUGCACUAUUCUACUACAUCAUUUUUCCUUUAGCUAUUCUCCUCUCUACCACGAAAAAACA